rnacentral:snoRNA from 1 species
CCCACUCCUAGAGGCUUUGUAGUUGUGGCUGCUAUGUCACAUGUGCAUCAGUAGGUAGCAGAGAAGAAUUGUCUGUCUCUGUUCAGUGUUCUGACCUAUGAACAUCUGAAUGAUCAGCAGCCUAGCAUU